rnacentral:rRNA from 1 species
CCCUUAGAUGUUCUGGGCCGCACGCGCGCUACACUGACGAAUGCAACGAGCUUAUAGCCUUGGCCGAAAGGUCUGGGUAAUCUCCAAAUUUCGUCGUGAUGGGGAUAGAUUAUUGCAAUUAUUAAUCUUCAACGAGGAAUGCCUAGUAAGCGCAAGUCAUCAGCUCGCGUUGAAUGCGUCCCUGCCCUUUGUACACACCGCCCGUCGCUCCUACCGAUGGAUCGCCCGGUGAAGCUCACGGAGUGACUGUUCACGCAACGGUUUACGAAGUGAAAUGGACCUCACGAUUUAGAGGAAGGAGAAGUCGUAACA